UCCAAUUGAUCAAAGGGAAAAGAAAGAGAUGAAGAAGAGAGACAUAAGAGAAGUCACACUCAAAUUGGACCAAAAGUUUGAUCCAGUCAAAAUCAAUCAUCUAUUUUGGUGGAUUAGGGUUCUCACCCCAUUAACACCCAAGAUCGAGUUUGAUGAGACUUGAAGUCCAAACCAUCAUGAUCCAAGGCCAACAGAAGUUCACAAGGGUCACCCAAAUAAAAAUGCAACUAAAUAAAAUAAAAAUGCAUCAAAGGUAUUUUUU
rnacentral:lncRNA from 1 species